AACGAACGCUGGCGGCAUGCCUAACACAUGCAAGUCGAACGGACCCUUCGGGGUUAGUGGCGCACGGGUGCGUAACGCGUGGGAAUCUGCCCAAAGGUUCGGAAUAACUCAGGGAAACUUGAGCUAAUACCGGAUAAUGUCGCAAGACCAAAGAUUUAUUGCCUUUGGAUGAGCCCGCGUAGGAUUAGCUAGUUGGUGGGGUAAAGGCCUACCAAGGCGACGAUCCUUAGCUGGUCUGAGAGGAUGAUCAGCCACACUGGGACUGAGACACGGCCCAGACUCCUACGGGAGGCAGCAGUGGGGAAUAUUGGACAAUGGGCGAAAGCCUGAUCCAGCAAUGCCGCGUGAGUGAUGAAGGCCUUAGGGUUGUAAAGCUCUUUUGUGCGGGAAGAUAAUGACGGUACCGCAAGAAUAAGCCCCGGCCAACUUCGUGCCAGCAGCCGCAGUAAC
rnacentral:rRNA from 1 species